AGAGUUUGAUCCUGGCUCAGGAUGAACGCUAGCUACAGGCUUAACACAUGCAAGUCGAGGGGCAUCAGGACGAUAGCUUGCUAUUGUUGCUGGCGACCGGCGCACGGGUGAGUAACGCGUAUCCAACCUGGCCCUUAGUAGGGGAUAGCCCGGCGAAAGUCGGAUUAAUACCCUAUGUUUUCCUUUGAUGGCAUCUGAUUUGGAACAAAGAUUAAUCGCUAAGGGAUGGGGAUGCGUCUGAUUAGGUAGUAGGCGGGGUAACGGCCCACCUAGCCAACGAUCAGUAGGGGUUCUGAGAGGAAGGUCCCCCACAUUGGUACUGAGACAUGGACCAAACUCCUACGGGAGGCAGCAGUGAGGAAUAUUGGUCAAUGGACGAGAGUCUGAACCAGCCAAGUAGCGUGCAGGAAGACUGCCCUAUGGGUUGUAAACUGCUUUUAUGCGGGAAUAAAGUUCGGCACGUGUGCCGUUUUGUAUGUACCGCAUGAAUAAGGACCGGCUAAUUCCGUGCCAGCAGCCGCGGUAAUACGGAAGGUCCGGGCGUUAUCCGGAUUUAUUGGGUUUAAAGGGAGCGCAGGCCGAAGGUUAAGCGUGACGUGAAAUGUACCGGCUCAACCGGUGACUUGCGUCGCGAACUGGCUUUCUUGAGUGAGUACGACGUCAGCGGAAUUCGUGGUGUAGCGGUGAAAUGCUUAGAUAUCACGAAGAACCCCGAUUGCGAAGGCAGCUGACGAGUCCUUAACUGACGCUAAUGCUCGAAAGUGCGGGUAUCGAACAGGAUUAGAUACCCUGGUAGUCCGCACGGUAAACGAUGGAUGCCCGCUGUUGGCGAUAUACUGUCAGCGGCCAAGCGAAAGCGUUAANCAUCCCACCUGNGGAGUACGCCGGCAACGGUGAAACUCAAAGGAAUUGACGGGGGCCGCACAAGCGGAGGAACAUGUGGUUUAAUUCGAUGAUACGCGAGGAACCUUACCCGGGCUCGAACGGCUGGUGAACAAUCCAGAGAUGGUGCGGUCUUCGGACACCAGUCGAGGUGCUGCAUGGUUGUCGUCAGCUSUGCCG
rnacentral:rRNA from 1 species